ACCAAGGCAUUUCGUAUGUUUGCCAUGAUGAAGGUGCCAACACUGACUUUGUCGCAGUACUUCAGAACACAGAAACAGCACCUCUUUCCUGCCGUGAAUGAUGUCUUCCUGAGCAGACAAGCUGAGCUACUGGACCGGCUCCGCCCAGUGCCCCUGACCCUUG